rnacentral:lncRNA from 1 species
GACAGAGUCCCCGCCACUGAGAAGCAACUGCAAAACAACUGCAAAACAAGUUCGUGUGCUUCGUGAAGAGUGAGCACCAAACGGAUGGGGCGGAUUCCAGGCACUGAUGAGGACAUGUUUUCCAGUGGGCAGGGCCACUGUGCCUACAGUUCUCUCCUACCUGAGCCCCACAUGGGUGAAGAGGCUGAGGAUCAGAACCCCUUGAUGACUACGUCACCAUGAUGCAAUUAUCCCUCUGGCUUAGUGGUACUCGGUGGCAAUAUUUGGGCUUUUAAAGACUGUGGUGAGGGGGCUGGGGUUGUGGCUCAGCGGUAGAGCGCUUGCUUCACACAUGCAAGGCCCCUGGGUUCGAUCCUCAGCAC